UACGGAGGGUGCAAGCGUUAUCCGGAUUCACUGGGUUUAAAGGGUGCGUAGGUGGGCAGGUAAGUCAGUGGUGAAAUCUCCGGGCUUAGCCCGGAAACUGCCGUUGAUACUAUCUGUCUUGAAUGUAGUGGAGGUGAGCGGAAUAUGUCAUGUAGCGGUGAAAUGCUUAGAUAUGACAUAGAACAUCGAUUGCGAAGGCAGCUUACUAAGCAAAUAUUGACGCUGAGGCACGAAAGCGUGGGGAUCAAACAGG
rnacentral:rRNA from 1 species